rnacentral:rRNA from 1 species
UAAUACGAGGGGUGCUAGCGUUGUCCGGAAUCAUUGGGCGUAAAGGGUCCGUAGGUGUCUUUGCAAGUCGUUUGUUACAUUCACCGGCUUAACCGGUGGCCUGCAAUCGAAACUGCAAGGAUAGAGUUCGAGAGAGGAAAGUGGAAUUCCUGGUGUAGCGGUGACAUGCGUAGAUAUCAGGAGGAACACCAAUGGCGAAGGCAGCUUUCUGGCUCGAUACUGACACUGAGGGACGAAAGCGUGGGGAGCGAACAGGAUUAGAUACCCUGGUAGUCCACGCCGUAAACGAUGGGCACUAGGUGCGGGAGGUAUCGAUCUCUUCCGUGUCGCAGCUAACGCAUUAAGUGCCCCGCCUGGGGAGUACGGUCGCAAGGCUG